rnacentral:rRNA from 1 species
GGGGGGGCCAAAUGGCAGUCGAGCGAGCUUGCCUAGAUGAUUUUAGUGCCUGCACUAAAUGAAACUAGAUACAAGCGAGCGGCGGACGGGUGAGUAACACGUGGGUAACCUGCCCAAGAGACUGGGAUAACACCUGGAAACAGAUGCUAAUACCGGAUAACAACACUAGACGCAUGUCUAGAGUUUGAAAGAUGGUUCUGCUAUCACUCUUGGAUGGACCUGCGGUGCAUUAGCUAGUUGGUAAGGUAACGGCUUACCAAGGCAAUGAUGCAUAGCCGAGUUGAGAGACUGAUCGGCCACAUUGGGACUGAGACACGGCCCAAACUCCUACGGGAGGCAGCAGUAGGGAAUCUUCCACAAUGGACGAAAGUCUGAUGGAGCAACGCCGCGUGAGUGAAGAAGGGUUUCGGCUCGUAAAGCUCUGUUGGUAGUGAAGAAAGAUAGAGGUAGUAACUGGCCUUUAUUUGACGGUAAUUACUUAGAAAGUCACGGCUAACUACGUGCCAGCAGCCGCGGUAAUACGUAGGUGGCAAGCGUUGUCCGGAUUUAUUGGGCGUAAAGCGAGUGCAGGCGGUUCAAUAAGUCUGAUGUGAAAGCCUUCGGCUCAACCGGAGAAUUGCAUCAGAAACUGUUGAACUUGAGUGCAGAAGAGGAGAGUGGAACUCCAUGUGUAGCGGUGGAAUGCGUAGAUAUAUGGAAGAACACCAGUGGCGAAGGCGGCUCUCUGGUCUGCAACUGACGCUGAGGCUC